rnacentral:rRNA from 1 species
UCCGGUUGAUCCUGCCGGAGGUCACCGCUAUUGGAAUACGAUUAAGGCAUGCGAGUCGAGAGUCUUAGGGACUCGGCAGACGGCUCAGUAACACGUAGAUAAUCUGCCCUUAGGUAGGGGAUAACCUCGAGAAAUUGAGAAUAAUACCCUAUAGGUCUAAGAUGCUGGAAUGUUUUUAGAUUGAAAGCUCCGGCGCCUAAGGAUGAGUCUGCGGCCUAUCAGGUUGUAGUGAGUGUAACGGACUCACUAGCCGACGACGGGUACGGGCCCUGAGAGGGGAAGCCCGGAGAUGGACUCUGAGACACGAGUCCAGGCCCCAAGGGGCGCAGCAGCUACGAAAACUUCACAAUGUGGGAAACCGCGAUGAGGGAAUUCCAAGUGCUACAGUUUAACUGUAGCUGUUUACUUGCCUAAAAAGCAAGUAGAGUAAGGGCUGGGUAAGACUGGUGCCAGCCGCCGCGGUAAUACCAGCAGCCCUAGUGGUGAUCGUUUUUAUUGGGCCUAAAGCGUCCGUAGCCGGUUUGGUAAACCCUUGGGUAAAUCGAGCAGCUUAACUGUUCGAAUUCUGAGGAGACUGCCAGACUUGGGACCGGGAGAAGUUGGAAGUACUUUUGGGGUAGGGGGUGAAAUCCUGUAAUCCCAAAAGGACUACCGGUGGCGAAGGCGUCCAACUAGAACGGGUUCGACGGUAAGGGACGAAGCUCUGGGUCACGAACCGGAUUAGAUACCCGGGUAGUCCAGGGUGUAAACGCUGCAGGCUUGGUGUUGGGGGUCCUACGUGGGCGUCCAGUGCCGAAGAGAAGUUGUUAAGCCUGCCGCCUGGGGAGUACGAUCGCAGAUUGAAACUUAAGGAGUGGCGGGGGAGCACAGCACGGGUGAGCGUGCGGUUUAUUGAUUCACGCAGAAACUCACGGAGGCGACGAUACAUGAGCAGCUGAUGACUUGCUGAUUUUCAGAAGUGGUGCAUGUCGCCGUCAGUCGUACCGCAAGCGUUCUGUUAGUCGAUAACGAACGAGACCCUCCCUCUAGUUGCAUCAGAUUCUUCAGAAUGUGGGCGGAAUUGUACCCUAUCUUAGU